CAGUAGCCACGGGAAUACGGAGGGUGCAAGCGUUAAUCGGAAUUACUGGGCGUAAAGCGCACGCAGGCGGUCUGUCAAGUCAGAUGUGAAAUCCCCGGGCUUAACCUGGGAACUGCAUUUGAAACUGGCAGGCUAGAGUCUUGUAGAGGGGGGUAGAAUUCCAGGUGUAGCGGUGAAAUGCGUAGAGAUCUGGAGGAAUACCGGUGGCGAAGGCGGCCCCCUGGACAAAGACUGACGCUCAGGUGCGAAAGCGUGGGGAGCAAACAGGAUUAGAGACCCCAGUAGUCCCUGUCUCUUAUAC
rnacentral:rRNA from 1 species